GGGCGCGUAGCUCAGCGGGAGAGCACUGCCUUGACACGGCAGGGGUCACAGGUUCAAUCCCUGUCGCGCCCACCA
rnacentral:tRNA from 1 species